rnacentral:miRNA from 1 species
UGGCAUCUGUCGAGGUCAUCUA